CCGAUGGCGACCGGCGCACGGGUGAGUAACACGUAUCCAACCUGCCGAUAACGCGGGGAUAGCCUUUCGAAAGAAAGAUUAAUAUCCGAUAGGAUAUCAAGGUCGCAUGAUCUUGAUAUUAAAGAAUUUCGGUUAUCGAUGGGGAUGCGUUCCAUUAGUUAGUUGGCGGGGUAACGGCCCACCAAGACGACGAUGGAUAGGGGUUCUGAGAGGAAGGUCCCCCACAUUGGAACUGAGACACGGUCCAAACUCCUACGGAAGGCAGCAG
rnacentral:rRNA from 1 species